rnacentral:rRNA from 1 species
CGGGUGAGUAAUGCGUGGGUAACCUGCCUUAUACUGGGGGAUAACAGCCAGAAAUGACUGCUAAUACCGCAUAAGCGCACAGAACCGCAUGGUCCGGUGUGAAAAACUCCGGUGGUAUAAGAUGGACCCGCGUUGGAUUAGCUAGUUGGCAGGGCAGCGGCCUACCAAGGCGACGAUCCAUAGCCGGCCUGAGAGGGUGAACGGCCACAUUGGGACUGAGACACGGCCCAG